UACGGGGGAUGCAAGCGUUAUCCGGAAUCAUUGGGCGUAAAGCGCCUGUAGGUUGUUUAAUAAGUUUGUUGUUAAAGACUAGGGCUCAACCCUAGAAAAGCAAUGAAAACUACUAGACUAGAGUAUGGCAGGGGUAGAGGGAAUUUCUAGUGUAGCGGUGAAAUGCGUAGAUAUUAGAAAGAACACCGGUGGCGAAAGCGCUCUACUGGACCAUUACUGACACUCAGAGGCGAAAGCUAGGGUAGCAAAAGGGAUUAGAUACCCCUGUAGUCCUAGCCGUAAACGAUGGAUACUAGAUGUUGGAUAUUAUGUUCAGUAUCGUAGCUAACGCGUUAAGUAUCCCGCCUGGGGAGUACGCUCGCAAGGGUG
rnacentral:rRNA from 1 species